rnacentral:rRNA from 1 species
GACGAACGCUAGCGAUAGGCUUAACACAUGCAAGUCGAGGGGCAGCAUGGUCUUAGCUUGCUAAGACUGAUGGCGACCGGCGCACGGGUGCGUAACGCGUAUGCAACUUGCCUCACAGAGGGGGAUAACCCGUCGAAAGACGGACUAAUACCGCGUACACUCUAUGUUGGGCAUCCAAUGUAGAGGAAAUGAAAUUCGCUGUGAGAUAGGCAUGCGUCCCAUUAGCUAGUUGGUGAGGUAACGGCUCACCAAGGCGACGAUGGGUAGGGGAACUGAGAGGUUGAACCCCCACACUGGUACUGAGACACGGACCAGACUCCUACGGGAGGCAGCAGUGAGGAAUAUUGGUCAAUGGGCGAGAGCCUGAACCAGCCAAGUCGCGUGAAGGAUGACUGUCUUAUGGAUUGUAAACUUCUUUUAUACGGGAAUAACAAGAGUCACGUG